rnacentral:lncRNA from 1 species
GUCAGACUGCCUUGGGAAGAACCUUGAGCUAAGUAAGGUCUUGCUUUGGAAUUCUGAGGGACCUGAGGCUGGAAGUUUUGGGUAAACCCAACUCUCUCUCUCUGUCUGUCUCUCUGUCUGUCUGUCUCUGUCUGUCUGUCUCUCUCUCUGUCUCUGUCUCUGUCUCUCUCUUUGUCUCUGUCUCUCUCUGUCUCUGUCUCUGUCUCUCUCUUUGUCUCUGUCUCUCUCUCUCCCCCCCACCCAUUUCUCUCUCCUUUCCUUCUAUCUUCUCUCCAUCUCUCCUCUCUCUCUCUGUCUCUCUCUCUGUCUCUCCCUCUCUCCAUAUCUCUCUCCUCUCCCUCUUUCUUCUCUCCAUUUCUCCUCUCUCCUCUCUGUCUCUCUUCUCUCCCUCUCUCUUCUCUCCAUCUCUCUCCUCUCCCUCUUUCUUCUCUCCAUUUCUCCUCUCUCCUCUCUGUCUCUCUUCUCUCCCUCUCUCUUCUCUCCAUCUCUCUCCUCUCCUCUUCUCUCUCUCUGUCUCUGUCUCUCUCUCUCUGUCUCUCUUUGUCUCUCUCUGUCUCUGUCUCUGUCUCUCUUCUGUCUUCUUUGUCUCUCUGUCUCUGUCUUUGUCUCUCUCUCUCUCUCUCUUCUCUCCAUCUCUCUCCUCUCCUCUUCUCUCUCUCUUUCUCUGUCUCUCGGUCUCGGUCUCUGUAUCUCUUUCUCUUUCUCUUCUCUCCAUCUCUCUCCUCUCCUCUCCUCUUCUCUCUCUCUCGGUCUCGGUCUUGGUCUCUCUGUCUCGGUCUCUCUUUCUCUCUCUCUCUAUCUCUCUCUCUCUUCUCUCCAUCUCUCUCCUCUCCUCUUCUCUCUCUCUCUGUCUCUGUCUCUCUAUGUCUCUCUCUGUCUCUGUCUUUCUCUCUCUCUCUCUCUCUCUCUCUCUCUCUCUCUCUCUCUCUCUCUCUCUCUCUCUCUCUCUCUCUCCUGGUGUUCCCUGGCCAGAGAGGAGGCUAAAACUUUGGCUCUUGGGAAUUCCUUGAACCCAAGUGACACUUUUGGAAAGAAGAGAAAAUUAGAAGUUUUGGGAAGAGCUGGGAA